CGNUAGCUACAGGCUUAACACAUGCAAGUCGAGGGGCAUCAGGAAGAAAGCUUGCUUUCUUUGCUGGCGACCGGCGCACGGGUGAGUAACACGUAUCCAACCUGCCCUUUACUCGGGGAUAGCCUUUCGAAAGAAAGAUUAAUACCCGAUGGGAUAAUCAUUCCGCAUGGUCUGAUUAUUAAAGGAUUCCGGUAAAGGAUGGGGAUGCGUUCCAUUAGGUUGUUGGUGAGGUAACGGCUCACCAAGCCUUCGAUGGAUAGGGGUUCUGAGAGGAAGGUCCCCCACAUUGGAACUGAGACACGGUCCAAACUCCUACGGGAGGCAGCAGUGAGGAAUAUUGGUCAAUGGGCGAGAGCCUGAACCAGCCAAGUAGCGUGCAGGAUGACGGCCCUAUGGGUUGUAAACUGCUUUUAUAAGGGAAUAAAGUGAGUCUCGUGAGACUUUUUGCAUGUACCUUAUGAAUAAGGACCGGCUAAUUCCGUGCCAGCAGCCGCGGUAAUACGGAAGAUCCGAGCGUUAUCCGGAUUUAUUGGGUUUAAAGGGAGCGUAGAUGGAUGUUUAAGUCAGUUGUGAAAGUUUGCGGCUCAACCGUAAAAUUGCAGUUGAUACUGGAUAUCUUGAGUGCAGUUGAGGCAGGCGGAAUUCUUGGUGUAGCGGUGAAAUGCUUAGAUAUCACGAAGAACUCCGAUUG
rnacentral:rRNA from 1 species